rnacentral:rRNA from 1 species
UGAGGAAUAUUGCGCAAUGGGGGCAACCCUGACGCAGCAACGCCGCGUGAGUGAGGAAGGUUUUCGGACCGUAAAGCUCUGUCGAGCGGGAAGAAAUGCAUAGUGGCUAAUAUCCAUUAUGCUUGACGGUACCGCUAAAGGAAGCACCGGCUAACUCCGUGCCAGCAGCCGCGGUAAUACGGGGGUGCUAGCGUUGUUCGGAAUCAUUGGGCGUAAAGAGCGUGUAGGCGGCUGGAUAAGUCAGAUGUGAAAGCCCUGGGCUUAACCCAGGAAGUGCAUUUGAAACUGUUCAGCUUGAGUAAGGGAGAGGAAAGUGGAAUUCCUGGUGUAGAGGUGAAAUUCGUAGAUAUCAGGAGGAACACCGGUGGCGAAGGCGACUUUCUGGCCCUAUACUGACGC